AAAGAAUAUUGCUGAAAACAAGAAGAUACUGGCAGGUUUAGGACUUGACAAAUUUAAGGGUCAGUUUGUUGCAAAACCUGUGAUAAAGAAGCCAGCACUAACUACUGGAGUGAAGCGAAAGCGACAGGAGGCAAAGGUCAAAGAUUUGGCAACUGAUGACGAACCCAUUAGUACUGAGCAUCAAGAUUUACAAUAUCGAAUUAGACUUCGGAGAUCAUCACGCCGGCUCAAAGGACAGGAACCCAAUGAGUAUCAAGAACAGAAUUAUAACAACUUUGAUGAUGGUGAUGAGGAUGAGGACUACAAGAGGCCCUUGAGAGCACCAAAAAACAGGGAAAAUGUUUUUGGAGAAAUACCAGGUACAU